rnacentral:rRNA from 1 species
AGUGAACGCUGGCGGUAGGCCUAACACAUGCAAGUCGAACGGCAGCACAGUAAGAGCUUGCUCUUACGGGUGGCGAGUGGCGGACGGGUGAGGAAUACAUCGGAAUCUACUUUUUCGUGGGGGAUAACGUAGGGAAACUUACGCUAAUACCGCAUACGACCUACGGGUGAAAGCAGGGGAUCUUCGGACCUUGCGCGAUUGAAUGAGCCGAUGUCGGAUUAGCUAGUUGGCGGGGUAAAGGCCCACCAAGGCGACGAUCCGUAGCUGGUCUGAGAGGAUGAUCAGCCACACGGGAACUGAGACACGGUCCAGACUCCUACGGGAGGCAGCAGUGGGGAAUAUUAGACAAUGGGCGCAAGCCUGAUACAGCCAUACCGCGUGGGUGAAGAAGGCCUUCGGGUUGUAAAGACCUUUUGUUGGGAAAGAAAAGCAGCAGGUUAAUACCCCGCUGUUCUGACGGUACCCAAAGAAUAAGCACCGGCUAACUUCGUG